rnacentral:rRNA from 1 species
GUGGGGAAUAUUGGACAAUGGGCGAAAGCCUGAUCCAGCCAUGCCGCGUGUGUGAAGAAGGUCUUCGGAUUGUAAAGCACUUUAAGUUGGGAGGAAGGGCAGUAAGUUAAUACCUUGCUGUUUUGACGUUACCGACAGAAUAAGCACCGGCUAACUUCGUGCCAGCAGCCGCGGUAAUACGAAGGGUGCAAGCGUUAAUCGGAAUUACUGGGCGUAAAGCGCGCGUAGGUGGUUUGGUAAGUUGGAGGUGAAAUCCCCGGGCUCAACCUGGGAACUGCCUCCAAAACUGCAUGACUAGAGUACGGUAGAGGGUAGUGGAAUUUCCUGUGUAGCGGUGAAAUGCGUAGAUAUAGGAAGGAACACCAGUGGCGAAGGCGACUACCUGGACUGAUACUGACACUGAGGUGCGAAAGCGUGGGGAGCAAACAGGAUUAGAAACCCGGGUAGUCC